UGGGGAAUAUUGCACAAUGGGCGCAAGCCUGAUGCAGCCAUGCCGCGUGUGUGAAGAAGGGCUUCGGGUUGUAAAGCACUUUCAGCGGGGAGGAAGGCGGUGAGGUUAAUAACCUCAUCGAUUGACGUUACCCGCAGAAGAAGCACCGGCUAACUCCGUGCCAGCAGCCGCGGUAAUACGGAGGGUGCAAGCGUUAAUCGGAAUUACUGGGCGUAAAGCGCACGCAGGCGNUCUGUCAAGUCGGAUGUGAAAUCCCCGGGCUCAACCCUGGGAACUGCAUUCGAAACUGGCAGGCUAGAGUCUUGUAGAGGGGGGGUAGAAUUCCAGGUGUAGCGGNUGAAAUGCGUAGAGAUCUGGAGGAAUACCGGNUGGCGAAGGCGGCCCCCCUGGGACAAAAGACUGACGCUCAGGUGCGAAAAGCGUGGGGGAGCAAAACAGGGAUUUAGAUACCCCUGGGUAGUCCACGCCGUAAACGAUGUCGAUUUGGAGGUUGUGCCCUUGAGGCGUGGCUUCCGGANCUAACGCGUUAAAUCGACCGCCUGGGGAGUACGGCCGCAAGGUUA
rnacentral:rRNA from 1 species